CUUUAAUGCAAGCUUUCAUGAGGUGUCUCAGGAUCACAACGACAGCAUGAUGCUCUGGAUAAUUAGUUGUUAUCUUCCUCUAUGUCUUACUUGUGUUCUUCAAGUAAGAUUCACAAAGCACUUUGCACACCAUAGCUGGCUUAGGAGUGGCUACCACCCUCCAGCAUGUGGGAAUGUUGAUGCAUGCCCAAGUCAAUGCCCUCAAGGUCAGUCAUACAUCUGGUGGGAGGAAGAGCUUAAAAUAGAAGCCAGGUUUGUGGACCUUUGUUUCUUCUCUUCCCCAUGCAGAUGAAAAUUUAUUGCUUAAUUCUUGUAGCAGACACUUAAUAAGAGUUUAUUGAAGGAUGAUGAAUGAAUG
rnacentral:lncRNA from 10 species